rnacentral:rRNA from 1 species
UACGGAGGAUCCGAGCGUUAUCCGGAUUUAUUGGGUUUAAAGGGUGCGUAGGCGGACUAGUAAGUCAGUGGUGAAAUCCUGCAGCUUAACUGUAGAAUUGCCGUUGAUACUGUUAGUCUUGAGUACAUUUGAGGUAGGCGGAAUGUGGUGUGUAGCGGUGAAAUGCAUAGAUAUACCACAGAACACCGAUUGCGAAGGCAGCUUACUAAACUGUCACUGACGCUGAUGCACGAAAGCGUGGGUAUCAAACAGGAUUA